CCCUAGUAACUGCGAGUGAACGCGGGAAAAGCUCAAAUUUUGAAUCUGGCGAUCUUUAUGGCCGUCCGAAUUGUAAUCUAGAGAAGUGUUUUCCGCGCUGGACCGUGUAUAAGUUUCCUGGAAUGGAACGUCGUAGAGGGUGAGAAUCCCGUCUUUGACACGGACUACCAGGGCUAUGUGAUGCGCUCUCGACGAGUCGAGUUGUUUGGGAAUGCAGCUCAAAUUGGGUGGUAAAUUCCAUCUAAAGCUAAAUACAGGCGAGAGACCGAUAGCGAACAAGUACCGUGAGGGAAAGAUGAAAAGAACUUUGGAAAGAGAGUUAAACAGUACGUGAAAUUGCUGAAAGGGAAACGCUUGAUGUCAGUCGCGUUCGCCGGGGAUCAGCCUUGCUUAAUCGCUCGGCGCACUUCCUGGUUGACGGGUCAGCAUCAAUUUUGAUCGUCGGAAAAUGGCUUGAGGAAUGUGGCACUCUUUCGGGAGUGUGUUAUAGACUCGGGUCGAAUACGAUGGUUGGGAUUGAGGAACUCAGYACGACCUUAGGGUUCGGGACUUCGGUCUACGUUUGCGUGCUUAGGAUGCUGGCAUAAUGGCCUUAAGCGACCCGUCCUUGAAACACGGACCAAGGAGUCUAACGUGCAUGCGAGUGUUUGGG
rnacentral:rRNA from 1 species